UAGGGAAUCUUCGGCAAUGGACGAAAGUCUGACCGAGCAACGCCGCGUGAGUGAAGAAGGUUUUCGGAUCGUAAAACUCUGUUGUUAGAGAAGAACAAGGACGUUAGUAACUGAACGUCCCCUGACGGUAUCUAACCAGAAAGCCACGGCUAACUACGUGCCAGCAGCCGCGGUAAUACGUAGGUGGCAAGCGUUGUCCGGAUUUAUUGGGCGUAAAGCGAGCGCAGGCGGUUUCUUAAGUCUGAUGUGAAAGCCCCCAGCUCAACCGGGGAGGGUCAUUGGAAACUGGGAGACUUGAGUGCAGAAGAGGAGAGUGGAAUUCCAUGUGUAGCGGUGAAAUGCGUAGAUAUAUGGAAGAACACCAGUGGCGAAGGCGGCUCUCUGGUCUGUAACUGACGCUGAGGCUGGAAAGCGUGGGGAGCAAACAGG
rnacentral:rRNA from 1 species